rnacentral:tRNA from 1 species
GGCGCCGUGGCCAAGUGGUAAGGCAAGGGUCUGCAAAAUCCUGACCGGCGGUCCGAAUCCGCCCGGCGCCUC